rnacentral:rRNA from 1 species
UACGUAGGUGGCAAGCGUUGUCCGGAAUUAUUGGGCGUAAAGCGCGCGCAGGCGGCCUCUUAAGUCUGAUGUGAAAGCCCCCGGCUCAACCGGGGAGGGCCAUUGGAAACUGGGAGGCUUGAGUAUAGGAGAGAAGAGUGGAAUUCCGACGUGUAGCGGUGAAAUGCGUAGAGAUGUGGAGGAACACCAGUGGCGAAGGCGACGCUUUGGCCUAUAACUGACGCUGAGGCGCGAAAGCGUGGGGAGCAAACAGG